GUGGGUACGGCCCAGUGGGGGGGAGAGGGACGCGCCCUGGGCUCACCAGGGCGCAGCCGGACUAACCGAGCCCCUGUGCCGCCCCCAG
ensembl:miRNA MIR1225 microRNA 1225